GGCGGGGUAGCUCAGUCGGUAGAGCAGCGGAUUGAAAAUCCGCGUGUCCGCGGUUCAAUUCCGCGCCCCGCCACCA
rnacentral:tRNA from 1 species